AACGAACGCUGGCGGCAUGCCUAAUACAUGCAAGUCGAACGCCUGUAGCAAUACAGGAGUGGCGCACGGGUGAGUAACGCGUGGGAACCUGCCCUUGAGUGGGGGAUAACCCGGCGAAAGCCGGGCUAAUACCGCAUACGCCCUUGGGGAAACCUUUGGGGAAAGAUUUAUCGCUCUUGGAGGGGCCCGCGUCGGAUUAGCUAGUUGGUAGGGUAACGGCCUACCAAGGCGAUGAUCCGUAGCUGGCUGAGAGGAUGAUCAGCCACACGU
rnacentral:rRNA from 1 species